CGAACGCUGUCGGCAGGCUUAACACAUGCAAGUCGAACGGCUCUUCGGAGCAGUGGCGGACGGGUGAGUAACGCGUGGGAAUGUGCCCUUUGGUACGGAACAACACAGGGAAACUUGUGCUAAUACCGUAUGUGCCCUUCGGGGGAAAGAUUUAUCGCCAUUGGAGCAGCCCGCGUUGGAUUAGGUAGUUGGUGAGGUAAAGGCUCACCAAUCCUACGAUCCAUAGCUGGUCUGAGAGGAUGACCAGCCACACUGGGACUGAGACACGGCCCAGACUCCUACGGGAGGCAGCAGUAGGGAAUCUUGCGCAAUGGGGGAAACCCUGAUCCAGCCAUGCCGCGUGAGUGAUGAAGGCCUUCGGGUUGUAAAGCUCUUUUGUCAGGGAAGAUGAUGACUGUACCUGAAGAAUAAGCCCCGGCUAACUUCGUGCCAGCCGCCGCCGUAAAAC
rnacentral:rRNA from 1 species